GGGCGCAUAGCUCAGUGAUAGAGUGUCCGUCUUACACGCGGAAGGUCUCAGGUUUGAAUCCUGAUGCGCCCACCA
rnacentral:tRNA from 1 species